rnacentral:rRNA from 1 species
GAUGAACGCUGGCGGCGUGCUUAACACAUGCAAGUCGAACGAUGAUGCCCAGCUUGCUGGGUGGAUUAGUGGCGAACGGGUGAGUAACACGUGAGUAACCUGCCCUUGACUCUGGGAUAAGCCUGGGAAACUGGGUCUAAUACCGGAUACGACCAUCUGGCGCAUGUCAUGGUGGUGGAAAGCUUUUGUGGUUUUGGAUGGACUCGCGGCCUAUCAGCUUGUUGGUGGGGUAAUGGCCUACCAAGGCGACGACGGGUAGCCGGCCUGAGAGGGUGACCGGCCACACUGGGACUGAGACACGGCCCAGACUCCUACGGGAGGCAGCAGUGGGGAAUAUUGCACAAUGGGCGCAAGCCUGAUGCAGCGACGCCGCGGGAGGGAUGACGGCCUUCGGGUUGUAAACCUCUUUCAGUAGGGAAGAAGCGAAAGUGACGGUACCUGCAGAAGAAGCGCCGGCUAACUACGUG